rnacentral:rRNA from 1 species
GACGAACGCUGGCGGCGUGCUUAACACAUGCAAGUCGAACGGAAAGGCCCUGCUUUUGUGGGGUGCUCGAGUGGCGAACGGGUGAGUAACACGUGAGUAACCUGCCCUUGACUUUGGGAUAACUUCAGGAAACUGGGGCUAAUACCGGAUAGGAGCUCCUGCUGCAUGGUGGGGUUUGGAAAGUUUCGGCGGUUGGGGAUGGACUCGCGGCUUAUCAGCUUGUUGGUGGGGUAGUGGCUUACCAAGGCUUUGACGGGUAGCCGGCCUGAGAGGGUGACCGGCCAAAUUGGGACUGAGAUACGGCCCAGAAUCCUACGGGAGGCAGCAGUGGGGAAUAUUGCACAAUGGGCGGAAGCCUGAUGCAGCAACGCCGCGUGCGGGAUGACGGCCUUCGGGUUGUAAACCGCUUUCGCCUGUGACGAAGCGUGAGUGACGGUAAUGGGUAAAGAAGCACCGGCUAACUAAGUG